GAGCACGUAGGUGGGUUUGUAAGUCAGAUGUGAAAGCCUUCUGUUCAACGGAAGAAUUGCAUCUGAAACUGCUAAUCUUGAGUAUAGGAGGGGAGAAUGGAACUUCUGGUGGAGCGGUGAAAUGCGUAGAUAUCAGAAGGAACGCCGGCGGCGAAAGCGAUUCUCUGGCCUAUUACUGACACUCAGUGUGCGAAAGCUAGGGGAGCAAACGGGAUUAGAUACCCCGUAGCCUGCCAGGU
rnacentral:rRNA from 1 species